GACUGCUGAAUUAUCAUUUUAUUUCACUUUCAUCAGUCAUGAUUAAUCCACUGCUGGAUGAAGGUCCCCACCCAUCUCUCAUCUCGACUCUACGAUAUUAUAACAAUCACAAUCCACCGAUAGAUGCGUGCGAACUCAGUCCAUCGCUCCGUCUCCACUCUCACACAAGACAGGGGGGAUAUCUGAACGAUACAGUAAGAUACCUAAAAUAUAUUUUUUUCUUAGAGAAAGACUGUAAAGGCGGUGUUGUGUGAUUUGGCGGAGGGGUGCACGGUGUGGAUCGUACUGUACUUUUUCGCACUUUGUUUUGCUCUUCGUGAUCCUUGCAAAAGUUCCACCUCCUCCCCGUUGCAUGACUGGACUUGCGCUGGAGCCUGAGCCGAAGUUAUUAAAAAAAAUUUGCGCCGUUGCAGAGGGGAGCCCGGGACUCGGGGACAAAGCUUCAGUGGAAGGAAAUGGCCGCAGUUUCUUGGCAAAAAAAAAACCUCAAGUCUGGGAGACUUUGGCUGAGAGAGUUAGUGUUGUGUGUGUGAGAGAGAGUGUGUGUGUGAGUGUGUGUGUGUCUCUGUUUGUCUGUCUGUUGGAAUGGUAUGCCCAAAUGUCUGCUCGUGUGUGUGUGUGUGCGCGCUCGUCGCAACUCAAAAGCCUCUUAGCUUGUUACCCUCCAACUGAGACCAAGAAAUUGGAGAUAUUUGCUACCGUGCCGGCUAGGUUCCGUGAAAAAGUUCGACAAAGUGGAACUACUGAAGCGUACAGACGGAGUGAGUUAUGCCCCGAUAUAUGCGCUCAGUGGCAUUCGCGUCUAAAGAUCAACUUUAAUCUCACGUGGUCGGAGGAGGAGCAAGGUGGUGAUGGUGAUGAUGGAGUUGUGGAGAUGCUGCAAGAUCGACAUCGAGAAGAAUCAAUCAGAGUACUGUAUUGCUUAAUGAAUUGAACUCGGGUCAUUUGGACUGUGGCACAAUCUGCUAACCAUUUCAUCGCUGCUGCUGCCGCCACCCCAUCUGUACAUUACAGACGGACUGACGCACGCGCAUUGUGAAGUAUUUGCUGUUGUAACUUGCUGACGCGCCCCUACUGGUCAUCUGUGCACAAGAGCUUCAUAGCUCAUCGGAUUCAUCCUACAGUUUAAAAUAACGAUUUAGAUUAUUCUGAUCGUCUUGCCCAGCGACGCGUCCUGCCCCAGCCAGCGUGUACGGCAAUCGCGCCUCUAUACUGUACGCGUCUUGUUCCGGUGUGACUAUUCAUUGUAUGCCAUUCAUUGCAUGCAAACUUAGUGUAUGUAUAUUCAUUGUAUUCCUACGCAUUGUAUGCAUAUUCAUUGUAUGCCUAUUCAUAGAAUUACUAUUCAUUGUAAGCGUAAUCAUUGCAUGCUUAGUGAUUGUACGAAAUGUAACUGUAUGGAAAUAAAUUGUAUGACUUAAUUGUAUGCCUAUUAAUUGUAUGCAAAUGUAUUGUAUGUAUAUAUAUUGAAUGCCUAAUCAUUGCAUAAAUAUUCAUUGUGAGCUCAUUCAUUGUAUGCCUAUUCAUUGCGUGACUAUGCAUUGCAUGACUAUUCAAGCAGCAGAGUCUUCUUCGUCGAAGCCAGAAGUUCCGUUAUUUAUUCAUGGCGGGGUUAUUCUCUUCUCGAGUCGCAUGCAGACCCGAGGGCAUCCACCGCCUUCUCAACUCGCUUUCCUCCCGCUACUCAUUCUGCCCCACUACACCCGGGGCAUCUCGAUAGCCCUUCUAGUCGCGUCUUUGUCUCUUCUCAACACGUGUCCAAAUAUGUAUAAUGUUUUUUUAUGAGAUU